rnacentral:rRNA from 1 species
CCAACUACGGGCCAGCAGCCGCGGUCGUACGUAGGACCCAAGCGUUAUCCGGAGUGACUGGGCGUAAGAAGUUGCGUAGGCGGUAGUUUAAGCGAGGAGUGAAAUAUGAUGGCUCAACCAUCAAAACAGUUUUCGAACUGGAUUACUCGAGAAUGGUAGAGGUAGCUGGAAUUUCUAGUGUAGGAGUGAAAUCCGUAGAUAUUAGAAGGAACACCAAUGGCGUAGGCAGGCUACUGGACCAUUUCUGACGCUGAGGCACGAAAGCGUGGGGAGCAAACAGGAUUAGAUACCCCUGUAGUC